rnacentral:antisense_RNA from 1 species
CUUCACGGAGCCGAGCAACAGGGGCUCACCGGCGCGGUCCUGGCCGUAGGUGGCGAGGAGCGCCUGGGCCUC